GGGGAAUAUUGCACAAUGGGCGCAAGCCUGAUGCAGCCAUGCCGCGUGUGUGAAGAAGGCCUUCGGGUUGUAAAGCACUUUCAGCGGGGAGGAAGGCGUUAAGGUUAAUAACCUUGGCGAUUGACGUUACCCGCAGAAGAAGCACCGGCUAACUCCGUGCCAGCAGCCGCGGUAAUACGGAGGGUGCAAGCGUUAAUCGGAAUUACUGGGCGUAAAGCGCACGCAGGCGGUCUGUCAAGUCGGAUGUGAAAUCCCCGGGCUCAACCUGGGAACUGCAUUCGAAACUGGCAGGCUAGAGUCUUGUAGAGGGGGGUAGAAUUCCAGGUGUAGCGGUGAAAUGCGUAGAGAUCUGGAGGAAUACCGGUGGCGAAGGCGGCCCCCUGGACAAAGACUGACGCUCAGGUGCGAAAGCGUGGGGAGCAAAC
rnacentral:rRNA from 1 species